UACGAAGGGGACUAGCGUUGUUCGGAAUCACUGGGCGUAAAGCGCACGUAGGCGGAUUCGUAAGUCAGGGGUGAAAUCCCGGGGCUCAACCUCGGAACUGCCUUUGAUACUGCGGGUCUUGAGUCCGAUAGAGGUGGGUGGAAUUCCUAGUGUAGAGGUGAAAUUCGUAGAUAUUAGGAAGAACACCAGUGGCGAAGGCGGCUCACUGGCCCGGUACUGACGCUCAUGUGCGACAGCGUGGGGAGCAAACAGG
rnacentral:rRNA from 1 species